rnacentral:tRNA from 1 species
GGGAAUGUAGCUUACUGGUAGAGCACUUGCCUAACAUCCACAAGAGCCAGGGUUCGAUUCCCAGCACUACCA